UUAUGAUCGAUUUGGAGAAAUUCGCAAAUCGAAGGAUGAUAAAUGUCAAUUCCAGUGUUCUCCCAGGACAUUGCGAUAAUCACAAAUACCUGCAAAGAUGUUGGUGGAAGAAGUAUUCAUUAUUUCUAUUAUCAUUCUUAGUCUCGUUCCUGAUAUCUUCUAUGGUUGCUACAGUUGAACUGGCUAAGCUGUACUGCAUUGUAAUGGUAAGCAAGAUCAGAGGAUGUGCAGAGAAAAAAA
rnacentral:misc_RNA from 1 species